AACGAACGCUGGCGGCAUGCCUAACACAUGCAAGUCGAACGAGACCUUCGGGUCUAGUGGCGCACGGGUGCGUAACGCCUGGGAACCUGCCCUUAGGUUCGGAAUAACUCCCCGAAAGGGGUGCUAAUACCGGAUAAUGUCUUCGGACCAAAGAUUUAUCGCCUUUGGAUGGGCCCGCGUUGGAUUAGCUAGUUGGUAGGGUAAAAGCCUACCAAGGCGACGAUCCAUAGCUGGUCUGAGAGGAUGAUCAGCCACACUGGGACUGAGACACGGCCCAGACUCCUACGGGAGGCAGCAGUGGGGAAUAUUGGACAAUGGGCGAAAGCCUGAUCCAGCAAUGCCGCGUGAGUGAUGAAGGCCUUAGGGUUGUAAAGCUCUUUUACCCGGGAUGAUAAUGACAGUACCGGGAGAAUAAACUCCGGCUAACUCCGU
rnacentral:rRNA from 1 species